ACAAUAAUAUGUGCAUGUAGUACCGUCGGUCACGCGGAAUGCAAGAGAAAAUCCGCCGUUAAAUUGAGCGAACAUUCACGAAUCCUGAUACCCACAAAAGGAACGUGAAAAAGAGCAGGAAAAGGAAAGAGCACUAGCGGCGAAGCAGACAGAAAAGAACAAACAGAAGAGACAGAUUCAAGCUUUGUCUUUUAAUCUGGACGAAGACGAAGAUGAAGCUGAGAUGUCUUCUGACGAAGACAAUGCCGAAAAAUCCCCGUAGGCAGAAAAUGUGCAAUCUGAUGGCCCUGCGAUUAAGAAGAUUUAGAAAAAUCCAGAUGUAGAUACAUGUUUUUUGCCAGUAGGGAAAGGAACGAGGAGGAAAAUAAACUUAGGGAAGAAUUGAGACAAGAAUGGGCUAGAAAGCAGAACGCGUUGAAGGAAGAAGAAAUUGAGAUCACAUUCAGUUAUUGGGAUGGAUCUGAUCAUCGUCGGAGUGUUAUAAUGAAGAAAGGUUCUUCAGAGAUGUUUAGAAGUUCUGAGGCGUGAAUUCAGCGAGCUUAAAACAGUAAUGGCAGAUCAGUUAAUGUAUGUCAAGGACAAUCUUAUAUUACCG